rnacentral:snRNA from 1 species
GAGUGUUACAGCUCUUUUAGAAUUUGUCUAGCAGGUGUUCUGGCUCUUACCGGAAAACCCUA